GAGCAACCUGUUCUCAUUUUCCCUCUCUAAACUUUCUCCCAGAGGCCACUCAUUGCCUUGCAUACCAACAAAUGUCUGCUCAGAACUUUUAGAAGUUCUGUUCAGAUACCCACAGAGAAGUUGCAUGCUUAUCCCAUUUUACAGAUGAGGAAAACAAGGCUCAGAGAGGUUAAGUGGCUUGUUUGAGAUCACAUAGCCAGGCAGAAGCAUCGUCAGGACUAGAACUGUGGUUAUGUUUUAGCUCAGGCAUGAGAACAUGGGCAGAAAUAUCAACAGAACUCAAAUUGCAAAUUUAGGUGGUUGCUCUGAGGUGGGUGUGGGAAGCCUCUGUGGACCUCCUUUUUUUUUUCACCUGU
rnacentral:lncRNA from 10 species